AGAACGAACGCUGGCGGCAUGCCUAAUACAUGCAAGUCGAACGAACUCUUCGGAGUUAGUGGCGCACGGGUGCGUAACGCGUGGGAAUCUGCCCCUUGGUUCGGAAUAACAGUUGGAAACGACUGCUAAUACCGGAUGAUGACGAAAGUCCAAAGAUUUAUCGCCAAGGGAUGAGCCCGCGUAGGAUUAGCUAGUUGGUGAGGUAAGGCUCACCAAGGCAACGAUCCUUAGCUGGUCUGAGAGGAUGAUCAGCCACACGUGGGACUGAGACGACCGGCCCAGACUCCGUACGGGAGCAGCAGGUAGGAAUAUGGAACAAGUGGGACGAAAGCCGUGACUCAGCAAUCGGCCGCGUGAGUGAGUGAGUCGUUAGGUUAGUAA
rnacentral:rRNA from 1 species